GAGCAAGAGGAUGAAUGGUAAAUGAAGAUGAAGUGAAACGAGCUUCAAGGUUUCAGAAUUAUGAGAGAGCAGGAAGAGGAAUGAAUUUGGAAAUGAAGAAGACAUGGUUGAGUUGCAGCUGCUACCCAUCAUCAUUUGUCUCUUGCUGAUCUUCAGUACUAGGAUGCAAAUUAUGAGAAACCUCCCAGACCAAUGUUAGGGUGAAUUCACAAUAUUUCAACCAACACCAAGAUUUUUUUACUAUUUCUUUGUGCAAAAUUAAAUAGGUAAUAACAACUAGUAGUAAUAAAUAUAUAAACUCAUGUAACAAAAAAAAAAUAAGAUACCAUAAUUUUUACAUGGAAAACCCUCCAAUGCGAAGGGAAAAACCAUAAGACCUAAUUCAGUUCAAACUUCUAUUAUCAAUAAUAAUGGGUUAUACUUGUCUUUUCUAGAAUAAUCUCUAAAGACUACCAAAUACAUCAAAAGUACAUAUAUACUUGGAUUAUACAAUCUCUCUUGGUAAAAGAAAUAAAGAAAAAUUGGAGAAAGUAUAAAAAAAAAUGUCGUUACUGUUCAUGAGCAGUAACACCAGUUCUCGAGCUCAAAAUCUGAUCUUAUCGUUCAUAUUGUUUAUACUCGAGUUUUGAACAUUUCCUCCAAAUUUCCACUGGAUCGAACCACAGAUGAAGCAGGAUCAACCUAUUGAUAAAAUCUGGACAAAUGUGUUUUUUUUUUCUCUCUUAUCUUCUCUUUGUUUUUUUUUUUUUUUUUUCUCGAUUUCUUUUUUGUUUUUUUGUUUUUUAAUGUAACUGACUUGGCCCUAAGCACAUGGGGCCCACUUCCCCACAUACGAGGGAGCCCAACAACAAAUAAAAGCGAAAAGGAAAAGGAAGAUGAGCAAGAAAAUGAACAGUCAAUGCAGAUGAAUUCGAAGUAAAGCAAGCUCUAAGGUUUCAGAAUUAUGAGAGAGCAGAAAGAGUAAUGGAUUUGGAUAUGAAGAAGACGUGGUUGAGGUGCAGCCGCUAGUCAUCAGCAUUGGUCUCUUUCUGAUCUUCAGUACUAGGAUGAAAAUUAAUUAAUGGUAGGCAUGCAUUGGAAAUCUCCCGUACAUUUGCUCUCUUUACACUGGUUAUAAAUGAAGCGGACAAGAUUGUCGGCUUCUUCAGUUCUCUUCUGGAGAAGUCACAUAUGUCUCUCCUGCUUAUGCACCUCAGAAGUGAGGAUACUUCUCAUCUUCUUCCACUGCUCUCCCCAUGGCGAAAGGACUGUGGUCAAGAAUCUGCUCAAGUGAUGGGACUCCAUUGGAAUAGGUCAGGAUGCAAACACUGCAUCAUGUUUCUUCAAAAACUCCCUUCCAAUCUCAGGCGAAAUCACGGGAAUGACAUGGACAUUGCCCAGUUUGAUGCAUGCGAUCUCAUUGUUCAGUUCUUCCUAAAGCCCAAGUAUCCACCGGAAUGCCGGCUUUUUUUGUGAAUAAUUCAGGUAGGUUCCCAACUAGGCCAUGGAGCUGGACCUCGAGGGAGCAGUGGCAUUUGCUUGGUGAUUAGGGUUUUGGGUUUGAGUUUGUAGAGGAUGAGAAAAGCGAAGAGGAAAAGGAAAAGGAGCAAGAAGAUGAAUGGUAAAUGAGGAUGAAGUGAAUCCAAGGUUUCAGAAUUAUGAGAGAGCAGGAAGAGUAACGGAUUUGGAAAUGAAGAAGCCAUGGUUGAGUUGCAGCUGCUACUCAUCAUCAUUUUUCUCUUGCUGAUGUUAAGGUGCAGAACAAUGGAGUCUGGAUCCCUCCGAAUCCUAAUCCUAAGACCCAUCGAAAAUGUGAAGGUACCAUUCUCCCACACUAAUAUUAUUUAUUUCUAAAGUGAUGUCGAUUAGGGAGGAAACUUCCGAAAGAAAUAAUAUUGAAGAGUUGCUUCUUACGCAUGAAAUGAAGAAGCAAACUUUUUAUUGAAGAAAAACAUUCUCUCUUUUAUGAAAAGAACAUUUCAAUCUCUUACUAUCACUUUCAAUAAAAACAUGACAAAUUCUCAUCAAAGACAGGACCACUUCUUUGGACAGCAAUAAAUAUGCUGUCACACAUCGACAGAAAAACAACUUGGGUGUUUUAAAAAAUACUUUUCAAUUAUUUUCAAGAAUUUCAUAUUAAAAUAAUAAUGAUAAUUAAUUAAUUUUACGUCCGAUCCCACUACUUCAAAAAUAUCAUUGAAUAUAAAUGCAUGACGUAAAGGUUUGGAAGUAUGAUUGCAUGUAGAUGACGUAAUAAAAGAAGAAAAAGGGAAAAAAAAAACCUACAAAUCAAUUUAAAGUAAAAUAUAUUUUUUUUAAUUUUUCUAUUUUAUACAUUGAUAUCUUCUUUCAUGUAUAAUAUGUUGGAAUUUAUAUAUGUAAAUGGAAAUUAGGAUUUUUUUUUUUUUUUUUUGAAAAACAUGUUUGUUAAUAAAUACAAUUUAUUUUAAAUAACGUAUCUUGUACAACUUCUUCUAAAAGAUGUGUUUGUUGUUUUAAGACACGACCCUUUAAAAGAUGUUUAGUAUUUUAAAGGCACAUCUCUUUUAAAGGUUAUCAUCAAAUCUAUAAAUAGGGACUCUCAUGACAUAUUAAUUCAUCAAUUCUUUUCAUUUUUUCUUCUUUUUACCAAAUAUUUGGUAUUUAAGAAAAUACAAAUUAUUAAGUGAUUCACUAUUUCUCAUGAUUUGAAGUGCUAUUAUCAUAAAAAAAAAUGAUCAUUAUAUCCUAAGAGGCAAUUGCCCAUAAAUAAUAAGCACCUGAGUGAGACAAAUUCGUCUUAAAGUCAUAGAGUCAAACUAUCAAUCUUAUUUGUGAGUUUCGAUUUUCUACUUCAUUUUAUUUGUAUAUUUAUUAUACACACUUAUUAUCCAUAUAUUUUCAAUGAUCUGGAUAACAUAAUAUUUAUUUUUUCAUAUUCAACGGUUUUAAAUAGUGUUAUACAUAUCUAGGAGUUGAAUUCAUUUUUAACUCCAAAUUUUAAGAUAUGGGGGAAUUGGUCCAAUAGGUUCAAAAUUUAUAUACCAAUGUAGCGAUCCCAAUUCCCACAUAAGAAGAGAAAAAUAAAAUACCAUUAAAAUAUCUUUAAUAAUAACUUCCUAUCUAUCAUAUAUACUGGUGGGAUUUUUCCAUAAAUUAAUUUAUGAUUAAAAAAAAGUAUUUUGUGGUAGGAUUUUUUUUUUGCAAAAAAAAUUAUUUGUAGCAAGUUUGUUAUUAUAAGUCCAUGAAUAUCUGGUAUCCACACAGUUAAUAAAAGAUCGAAGCUUAUCAUCUAUAGUUAAUAAAAGAUCGAAGCUUAUCAUCUAUAAUAAUAAACUGAUAUAAUAAGGUAGAUGAUUGACCAUCAUCCUAGGAGUCUUUUCUUAAUCAAUUUGAUAAUAUCAUAUAGUUAAUUACAAUGGAAUCCAUUUGUAAUCAAUAUGAUGUUACCUUAUUAACGAUUAUCUUAACAAUGAAGUCUUUUUUUUAAUAAUUUUGAUAAUUACAAUGUAAUCUCUUUGUAGUCAAUUGAUAACAUCAUAUGACUUUAGAGGUCUAGGUUAGAUGAAAUAUAUGGAAAAAAAACUACUCAAAAUUUGGUCAAUGCAAUACCAAGACCCGUACAUUGAUCCUUUUUAUUAGGUAAAGGAUACCUAAUCCAUUGAAGAACCUCAUUUAAAGGCUUGUAGUUGAUUAUAAGUCCUGAGGCACCUCUUUCAAUCUCAGCAAAUGCCCAAAUGGAACAGUGAAUGCAAUCUUAUAUUUAUCUUUUUCUUCACUUUUAAUUUGUCAAAAUCCUGAUUUUAAAUCAAAUUUUGAAAAGAUUAAAGCAUCAUGAAGGCAACCAAUAAAAUCCCUUUUAUUACUUAAAGGAUACCUAAUCCAUUGAAGAACCUCAUUUAAAGGCUUGUAGUUGAUCACAAAUCUUGGGCCACCUGGAACUCCCUUACUAACUCAACUCUAUCCUUUUAUGAUGAAUUUCUUCUAAUUAAUGAAAGUUCUUCAUCAUAUGAUAGUUCUUCUUCACAAUCAUCAUGUGAUUGUAUGAAAAACUGAAGUAUCAACUAUGUGUCAAACAUGAAUGGAGUGUGAUGCCUUUGAUCAUUAAAUUUGGUUACAAUUCCUUCAUCACUUACUCAAUUGGUUUGGUUGUGCCUUGGUAAAUUUCAAAUCUUAAGAAUUUAAUCCCGCUUUGAAAUAGUUUGAUCUUAGGGUAGAAAUUACUAGUCCAUUCUCUUUGACAAUUUUUUGAAAGAUUUUUAUAUGCUUGAAGUGUUGAUCAAUAGAAUUUAAAAAUAUAAGAACAUCAUCAAUAUAUACAAUGGUAAAGCUUGUAUAGGGAUUGAAAAUGUUAUUAACCAUUAUCUUAACAAUGAAGUCUUUUUUUAAUCAUUUUGAUAAUUACAAUGCUUGAUAACAUCAUAUUACUUUAGAGGUCUAAGUUAGAUGACCCAUUAAAAUACGUCAUGUUUGGGGUGGAAUAUUAUGUCAACGAUUUUAAAAAGAAAUAUAUCAUAUGACAAAAGAGUGGGUUUUGAAAAUUUCACUCAUUAACAAGAGAUUCUAAAAAGGAAUUUUAAAAUUUUAUCAAAUGUCUAAGGUUCUAAGAAAGCAAUUCCAAACAUUAAGAAGUACUACUUAUGACCUCUUUCAAAAUCAAAUGCGUAAUGUAAAGUUGGACAACGUUUGUGAACAUAUUUAGGAGUCAACUCAGAAGUUUAGGAUAGAAGAGUCAACUUAGAAGGAUGUAAGAUUUAAAUAUUGACGUGGGCACGCAUGACAUAUACACUUCAAUGAAAGGAAAAAAAGAAAAAAAAGAAAAAAGGAAAAAAAAGAAAAGAAAAAGAAAAACCCACUUCAAAUCAAUUAAAACACAAAUAUUUUUUAUAAUAUAUAUUUUUUAAAUUUUAUAUUAUAUUUGGUGUAAAAAACAUUUUCUAGUUUUUAUUUUCUAAAAAUUAUUUUAUUUUAUCUUUUUUUUAUUAAUUAUUUAAGAAAAUAAAAUUUAUAAAAUCUUACUUGAUUUUGAGUUUUUAUUAAUGUAAAAAAUGGUUUAGAAAAUAUAACUAAAAUUUUAUAUAAUACACAUGUUAUUAUAUAAAGUAUAUUAUUAUAUUACAUUUAUUUAUUAUUCUUUUUAUUUUUAGAAAUACCUUUAUAGCUUCUCACUAUUAUAAAAUUAAAAUAUCAAGGACACAAACUUUUAGCUUUAACAACACAUAAUAUGAUUUAUAUAGUUUCUGACUAUGAGAUAAAACAAAUAAAAAUUAUGAUAAUAAAAGUGAAAUAUAAUGACAUAUCAUUUUUCAUAUAUCUUUGUAUCCCCAAAGCAUCAUGUGAUGAGUGGAGAAGAAAAGAAAAUUGGAUGAGAGCAUUUAUCUUUAUUAACUCAUAAAUCCUUAUUUAUAGGCUCUACUCAUCAAGCUUCGGAAUGGAUGAAGUUUUAAUCAAUUCCCAUACAUGGAAGCAUGCAAGCGUGGUUUUGCAUGAGCAUGGAGAGGCUUGGCUAGAAAGAGGUCGUUCAUUGAUUCUGUGAGGUCAAUUUGGUCCUGGUUCGGUGGCACACUCCACGAAAAACAUUGAAGGAGUCUCGCCAAGAGUGUAACUGUCAAGGCUGUCCCUAAGGCAGUUCCAGGACACCCGCGUCUCCCAGUACUAAAUGAAAUGAACCGAAGCUCAGGCUCAGCUAAAUCCACCACUUCAUCAUUCAUAUGCCGCUCUGGUUUAAACUUUAAUGGCUCUUCCCACACUCUAGGGUUCCGUCCAAGCCCUACCCGGCUCAGCAGGACAUGGCUGCCUUUGGGGAUGAAGUAGCCGGCCACAACAGCGUCCGCCAUGGACACAUGGGGCACGUUGAAUGGUGCUAUGGGGUGAAGCCGCAGAGCUUCCCUAGCACAGGCUUUAACAUAUUUGAGCUGCGCGAUAUCGGAUUCUUGAACAAGUCUAUCCUUUCCAACCACUCUAUCGAUUUCUUCUACGGCCUUCUGCAUAAUCUCGGGUUGAUUGAUCAUUUCUGCCAUUGCCCACUCAGCUGCAUGCGCUGGAUUAUCCACUAUUUCAAUCAUCAGUUCCUGCCAGAUUGUAUAUAGUUAAUAUAUAUUGAACCCCAAAGAGAAGAACUUCAGAAUAUAUAUACGAAAUUAAGAUAACAUAUUAGAGCUAAAUUCUCACUAUGAGUUGGGCUUUGAUCUCUUCUACUGAUAGCAAUGGUUUUCCCUUUGUGUCGCUGAUUGUAAUGAAAACAUCGAGUAUGUCCUCAACCUCCUUCUUCUCCCCAUUUCUCCAUUGUAUUAUUCUUUCAUCCACAAUCGGAUCAUGAUGCUUGUUGAUGAUUCUCAAAGCCUCUUUUACCAUCUUCUCAUGGCCAUCUAGGUCGAAGACUCUCAGGCAUGGAAGGUAAUCAGAUGGAGAGAAUACAUAUAGGUAAGCAAGCGUGGUAAAGAGGGAGUUUACGUGUUCUUCUUCUUCAAGUCCAGGCCCUCCAUCUUUCCUUCCUUCCCCAAAGUACCUUCUGCUGAACAUCAUCUUCCUAACCACAUUUCCUGUGUAUUGUCUGACUGUAUUUCUCACAUUCACAACCGAUGAUUCCGUAAAAUUAUGGCUAGUAAUACUAGAGAACUUACACUGGUUAUAAAUGAAGCGGACAAGAUUGUCGGCUUCUUCAGUUCUCUUCUGGAGGAGCCACAUAUGUCUUGCUGGCUUAAGCACCUCAGAAGUGAUGAUCCUUCUCAUCUUCUUCCACUGCUCUCCCCAUGGCGAAAGGACUGUGGUCAGGAAUCCUCUGCUCAAGUGAUCGGACGUCAUUGUAAUAGGUCUGGAUGCAAACACUGCAUCAUGUUUCUUCAAAAACUCCCUGGCAAUCUCAGGCGAAAUCACGGGAAUGACAUGGACAUUGCCCAGUUUGAUGCAUGCAAUCUCAGUGUUGAGUUCCUCCAAAAGUCCAAGUAUCCACCGGAAUACCGGCUUUUUUGUGAAUAAUUCAGGCAGGUUCCCAACUAAUGGCCAUGGAGUUGGGCCAGGAGGGAGCAGUGGCAUUGGCUUGGUGAUUAGGGUUUUGGGUUUGAGUUUGUAGAGGAUAAGAAAAGCGAAAAAGAAAAGGAAAAGGAGCAAGAGGAUGAAUGGUAAAUGAAGAUGAAGUGAAACGAGCUUCAAGGUUUCAGAAUUAUGAGAGAGCAGGAAGAGGAAUGAAUUUGGAAAUGAAGAAGACAUGGUUGAGUUGCAGCUGCUACCCAUCAUCAUUUGUCUCUUGCUGAUCUUCAGUACUAGGAUGCAUGAGAAACCUCCCAUACAUUUGCUCUCUCUUUAUAGGCAAAUGGACUUUCACUAUACAGGCCUUUCAUACUUCCCAUCAAUGGUAGGAUUACUCCUCUUGUACGGUCAAAAUCAUGUUAGAUUUUGGUCCAACAGACAGGGG
rnacentral:lncRNA from 1 species